ACCAGCGCUGGUGUAUAAUUAGCUACAUCUCAGACGGAGACAGAAAAAGAACAGGUAGGGAGGUAAAGAAAAGAAGAAAACUUGACCUGGCCUCCUGCUAACUCUAGAGACCAAAUGUAUUUGUUUCUUUGAAGAAAGUGUCUUCCACGUCCUUGGCAGAAUGCUCAAACUUUUCCAUUAUUCAUCUUUGUGGCUGUUAAUUGUGGUUCAUCAACUUGACUGGAUUAAGAAGUGCCCAGAUGAUUCAUAAGCUGCCAUAAACCAAGCAGUUGUCCUCUGCCACGCUCUUCCACCAUGAUGCUUAUGCCUUGGAGCCAGCUGACCAUGGACUGAGUCUCCUGGAACUGUGAGCCAAAUAAACAUU